UUACGGGAGGCAGCAGUGAGAAAUAUUGGACAAUGGGCGCAAGCCUGAUCCAGCCAUGCCGCGUGCAGGAAGACGGUCCUAUGGAUUGUAAACUGCUUUUGUACGGGAAGAAACAGCAGUUCGUGAACUGCCUUGAGGGUACCGUAAGAAUAAGGAUCGGCUAACUCCGUGCCAGCAGCCGCGGUAAUACGGAGGAUCCAAGCGUUAUCCGGAAUCAUUGGGUUUAAAGGGUCCGUAGGCGGUUUGGUAAGUCAGUGGUGAAAGCCCAUCGCUCAACGGUGGAACGGCCAUUGAUGCUGCCAGACUUGAAUUAUUAGGAAGUAACUAGAAUAUGUAGUGUAGCGGUGAAAUGCUUAGAGAUUACAUGGAAUACCAAUUGCGAAGGCAGGUUACUACUAAUGGAUUGACGCUGAUGGACGAAAGCGUGGGUAGCGAACAGGAUUAGAAACCCGAGUAGUCC
rnacentral:rRNA from 1 species